rnacentral:lncRNA from 1 species
GUUGUAUGGCUCUGGGGGGGACUGCGGGGAGGGGGACACAGCGGGGAUUUCCUGAGAGGAGUGGACUUGUGACCCAGAGCGCGGGAGCACCCAGGCCCAGGGACCCCCAGCCUCAGCCCUCAGUGCGGGGCUCCGGGGUGCAGAGCUUCAGAGCAGAGACAGAAGAGCCCAGAAGGAAGCGGGUCUGCACAGCCCCAAGCAGUUCUUGAUCCUCCUGACAAGAAUGAGCCCGACUUGGUGAUCCUACUACGUUCAGAAGCCAACACACUGUGACAAUGGGGAGUUUGAGCCAUCCUUUAGAGGAGCCAGAGUAUUGCUUUAGAAAACCAGCUGUGACCUUCAAGUUGAAGGAAGGAGAAGAUCCAUGGUUAUUAGAGGAAGAACUUCUAAAUAGGAGCUCCCCAGAAGACUACCAACCUGAUAAAUUAUUAAAGAAGAGCCAAGAAAACCAAGGGAAACAUUUGUAGCAAUCAUCAAAGACAAAAUACUGACCACUGAGAAGAGAAAGUUUCAGGAAAAC